rnacentral:rRNA from 1 species
CACAUCCCACUGCUUAGUGUGCGCGGCGUAUUUCGGUACUUGCGUCACACAUUAAACUAUAGAGACCGCUGUUUCUUCUUUAAACCAGAGGAAGGAUACGGCAAUAACAGGUCUGUGAUGCCCUCAGAUGUUCCGGGCUGCACACGUGCUACAAUGAUCAUUGCACUGUGCAUCUAACCCAAUGUGCGCGGACGCCACGAUUUGUGAUUUUUGCUUUCGGGCAUUAUUACAUAUUCGCUUGUGCGACUGCGCCGAACCUACUUCGAAAGUAAAAUUUUUAAGUGGGUAAUCCAUUAGAAGUAAUGACUCGCAUAGACCAUGGCACACUUUAUGUACGCGCAGGUCUACCCGGCUCGCCUUUGUGUGAGUGCAGUGCGUAGCUUGUUGUUUCGUACGUGCCACUCCGUAUUAAUUCGUACGUGGGGAUAGAUCAUUGUUUAAUUGUUGGUCUCGGUCUUAACUAGGAAUGCCUUGUACGGGUCUUUGGUUCAACAUACCACCCGGAAUACGUCCCUGCCCUUUGUACACACCGCCCGUCGCUCUUACCGAUGGAUUAUACUAUGAAUCUAUAGGACUGCCAAAGCUUUGCGGCGUGUUCGCACACCGCAGCUUAGUGGAAAUAUAUAUGAAUAG